rnacentral:lncRNA from 1 species
UUACCUCUAUCACUAUUUUUGUCAUUUUGCAUGAAUCUUUGCAUGAUUUGUAGAUUUACAUGCCAUUUUUGUAUGAAUCAGUUCGUGGAGUACAGUAAGAUGAUAUACUUGGAUGGGGAUAUUCAAGUCUACGAUAACAUUGACCACCUCUUUGAGCUACCAGACGGACAUUUCUAUGCAGUGAUGGACUGUUUCUGUGAGAAAACAUGGAGUCACACGCCACAGUACAAGAUUGGAUACUGCCAACAGUGUCCGGAAAAGGUUCAGUGGCCAGCGGAGCUGGGUCAGCCGCCUUCACUUUACUUCAACGCAGGCAUGUUCGUGUUUGAGCCCAGCCUCUCCACCUAUGAAGAUCUCUUGGAAACCCUCAGGAUCACCCCUGCAACCCCUUUUGCAGAGCAGGUAAACACAUAAGCUUUUGCUGAUGAUAUUCUUCCAACAUAAUCCGGUUGUGGUUCUGGGAUUUUGUUAUUUAGGAAAAUGUGUAUGUGUUUUUGGCAGGAUUUCUUGAAUAUGUACUUCAGCGAUGUAUAUAAGCCUAUUCCUCUGGUCUACAAUCUUGUCCUUGCCAUGCUGUGGCGGCAUCCUGAGAAUGUAGAGCUUGAUAAAGUGAAAGUUGUUCACUACUGUGCAGCGGUGAGUACCAAAGAAGAUUGAUUUUGGGAGAUUAAUUCGCAAGUUAUAACCUGUGGUGGUUAUGUAUACUAAUACAAAUAUUUGUGAACGGUAUACCAGGGGUCGAAGCCAUGGAGGUACACAGGGAAGGAGGACAACAUGCAGAGAGAGGACAUUAAGAUGCUGGUAAACAAAUGGUGGGAGAUAUACAAUGACAAGUCAUUGGAUUACAAGAAGACGAGGAUGAUGGCGAAUGAUUACAGCAGUGUUUUGCCGGGGGAGCAGGUGAAUUUGGAGCCGUUCAUUGCAGCUCUUUCCGAGGUGGGGCAUGUUGAAUUUGUGAGAGCCCCUUCAGCAGCCUAGAAGAGGCCAGUACUCUCGUGGAGAAGAGGAUCCAAGGGGCAUGCAAGCAGAUGACCGGUGAAUUUCCAUUUUCGAGAUGAAAAUGUUGGUUAUUUUUGUGGUUUGGGGGUUUGUCACGGUUAGUGAAUUUUUACGUUGUUCACUUGUAAUAUCCUUAAUGAUUGCCCACUACAAGGCAAAUUACUUCCAGUCAUACAUAAAAUCUCAAAGACACUCUGUUUUAUCUGCUGUUGAACUCUGUUUUUUUUUUUUUUUUUGCUCUUUUUCUCCCUCCUUUUUCUUUUUAUUUAUUUAUUUUCUUUGGGAAAUGGAAUUGAAAUACGUGGGACAAGAAUCGUAUAGGCUUAUUUGAGACAACAAAACAUCCACCCAGUCCCAGUCGCGGACCUGUUAUGGUGAAGGCAAGUUGAUUAAGGACGGUACAGCAGGGCACUUAAUUAUGGCUAGGUUAUAUCCCAACUUGUGGGUAGAAAAAAAAGGGUAAUAUUAAAAUGAGAACCAAUUUAAAAAGCAUUUUUGAAUUUAAUUUAAUUUUAAUUUAUUUGUUAUUUAUAAUUUUGAAGUUAAUUUUAACUUAUUUAUUAAGAGGAAAAAUUAUACUUAUAAGAAGGAUUAAAUGUACAUAAAAAAAAAUAUUCGUAUGUGAAAAGAAAAGAAAUAUUGAAAAAUAGUAAGAAAACUUUAUUUUAGGCAUAACUAAUGAUUGGUUGAAAGUUUUCAUUAUCAUUCUCAUUUGACAUUUCUUUUUACCAUAUAAGUGAUUUGAUUUGAAUGGAAAGUUGGAUACUAGAUCUUUAAGGAUAAGGAAGGAGAUUAAUUUAAUCAGAUUUCUUUUUAUCUCUUUUACUUUUUUAAAUUAAAAGAAAAUAAAAAAAAUAGAGAGAAAAAAAUAAAAGAAAUAAAAAAUAGAUUUAAAAUUAAUAAAUUAUUUUUAUAUAUAUUUUAAAACUCAUUUCACUUAUUUCCUAUAUAAUUUUAAAAUAUAUAAAUUAUUAAUUAAUUUUAAUUAUAUUUAUUUUUUUUAUAAUGAAACUAAAAAUUAAAAAAAAUAUUAUAUAUAAGGGUGGAGGUUAAUUUAAUUACAUCUUUUCUUAAUUUAUUUUAAAUUUUUAUCUGCUUAGUUUUAAUAUUGAGGGAAAAUACUAAAAAAAGAAAAGAAAAAAUAAAAAAAUAAAAAAGAAAAUUAGAAAAUAAUUUUAAAAUUAAUAAAUUAUUUUUAUGUGUUUUUUCAAAGUUAUUUCACAUGUUUCUCUAUGUAAUAUAAGGAUUAAAUAAAUUUUAAAUAUUUUAAAUUUAAUUAUAAUUGAUUUUUUUAUAUAACAAAAUUAAAUAUAAAAAAUCAUUUUUCUUAAUAUUUUAUUUUAUUUUUAUUGUUUUUUGUUUAGUAUGCAGAAGCUCUCAUUCCACUUGUGUCGGCAAAAACAUCAUUGUAAAUAUAUUAAAAGAAAAACAUAAAAAAUAAAGCAAAUCACGUAAAAGGUACACAAAGUUUUAAUAUGAUUUGAUCAAUUAUGACUAUUUUCACCAAUGAGAAAGAACAUUUUAUCAUAUGAUAGAAAAUAUUAUAAAGAACAAAAAUCUAAAAAAAUACAAUUACGAGAUCUCUAUCUUAAAAUAUGAGCCGUUUUACUUCAUUAAAUGUUUUUUUUUUUCAUCACAUUUACUUCCCAGUAAACCCCCUUUCUCUACUAGAUGUAUGUCGUUCUUUCUCAUAUUUUUAUUCCAUCUCUCUCAUAACUUUUUUUUAAAAUAAAAUAUUUAUAAAGAUAUUUCUAUUAACUUCGUAAGAAUCUAAUUAUUAUCACAUAUAAAUUAAAAAAUAUUAUAUAUAAUAUUUCUUUUACAAAUAUAUUCCCCAUCACUUUCCCGCCAAACAUAGGAUAAAUGAUGCUCUUUAUGUCCUAAUCUUUCCAAACUUUCAAGUAUUCUUUUACUUAGAAAUUACAAAUUUGAUACAAAUUGGGCCACCAUUUGAGAGUCCAAUCCCUCCAGCCAGAUUUAUAGGUGAGUUUAACUUGAAUUGAAGAAGUAGGAAUGUAAAAAUACUGGGAUUGACAUGAAUUCAAGAUCAGAAAACCCCCGAAAGCCAAAUCCAGCACAUUAUUGAUUUAUUUUUAUUUUAUUAUAAUAUAAAAAACAUAAAUUAUAAAAAAACAUAAAUUAUAAAAAAACACUAACUUUCUUAAUUUUUAAUUACAUUUUAAUUAUUAAAAUAUCUUUAAUAGUUAUAGUUAAAGUUUGAGCUUAUGAAUAAUUAUUUAUGUUAAAAUAAUAAUUAAUAAUUUACAGUUUUGACACCUUUUUGUUUUUUGACUUGAAGAAAAAAAAUAGUAGUAACUUAUAUAAAAAAUGAAAAAUUUUAUUAAAAAAAAUUAAACUUAUUUCAUGUCUUUAAAAAAUUACUUUUAGAAAUGUAAGUUAAAUAGAUUUUAAAAACUAUAAUUUUUCUUUAAUAUAAGUUGUUAUUUUUUAUAGGUUGAAUAUAACAUGAAAUAGGACAAGAUAAUAUAUCAUAUCUCAUUUUUUAUUGGUAAUAUUAGGGGUGCAACUUGUACGGGUUGGUUUGACCCAAUUGGAACCCAAUCCAAUGUUUGGGUGAACUUAGGCAAAUAUUUCCAUUACUUGAGUUAAACUUGAAUUAAGUUUUUUCAACUCGAAUUCAAUUUGAAUUGGAUCCAAGCUAAGGUUUAAAAAACUCGAGGAUAACUCGAACUUGAUUUAAUAUUUUUAUGAUAUUUAUAAUGUUAAUGUUUAUUAUUUUAAAUGAUAAUAUUCAUUUUCUUUUUAAUUUUGGAAGAAAAAAAUAUCAAAUUAUAAUUAUAUCACACAGUUAUUACUUUUUAAAAAAGAUAUAUAAGUUUAUUUUUACUUUUUUUUAUUAUCUUGAAAUUUUGUGCUAUUUAUUAUUUAAAUUUUGAUAUAAAUAUAUAGAAAAUAAGUUUUUUUAAAAACUAUUAUAGAUGAAUUUUAAAUCUUUCAGCACAAUGAAUCCAAAUAAUUUGAGUCUAACUCAAUCAACUCGAGUUUAACCCAAUCAACUCGAUCAACUUGAGAUCAACUUGAAUUUAGAAAAUAAGGUUAGGCUAGGCUUGGGUUAAGUACUUUGGGUUAGAGGACGAGUUAUGUUAACCUUAACUUGAUUCUUUCUUAAUUUGUGUUGGAUUUGAGUUAGCUAUUAACUCAACCAACUCGCCCAAGUUGCCAUCCAAGUUGCAGCCCCAAGUAAUAUUUUAGGAUAAGUUAUCUUAUCAUAUUUCAUAUAUUAUAUCUUAUAUUUAACAAAAUAGGAUAUUUAACAAAAUAUGCGUUUGGUAUAAAAUAGGUAGUAAGAUACUUUGGUAUAAAAUAGGUAGUAAGAUACUAAGAUAAAAUGUCUUUUUUCUCUUUUUAUUUUUUUUCUUUUAUACAUAUUAAUUUUAAAUAAUACUCUUUAUUUAUUUAUUAUAAUAUCUAAUGGACACUACAAAACGUUGUAUAGAUCACCUAGUAAAAUGAAAAUAUUAAAUCAAAUUAAAAGUGUGUUCAACUAUUAUUUUAGAAAGUAUUUCUAAUUUUUCUAAGAUUUCAGUAUUAAAUAUAUUAGAAGCAUUUCUUAAAAUCAUUGUGAAAUAAACUCUAAUUUAUAUAUUUAAAAAUCACUUUUAUAAAUUUUAAAAUUUAAGUUACUAAAAUUCUUUUGAUGUCUUAAUUUUUUAAAUAAUUUUUAAAACUUUUAUUUAUUUUUAAAUAAAAGGAAAUCUAUUAGUUUUUGGAUCUUCCCAUAUUGUUUACCAUUAACAGCCAUGAGGCGUUACCUCUUUUUUUUUUUUUUUUUAAUCGUGAAGUUCGAUUGACGUGUAAUUCUGCUUAAAAUAAAUUAAGUGUAUGUUUAACAAAAAAUUUUAAAAGUAUUUUUAAUUUAAAAGGUAUUUAAAAAAAAACAUAAGAUGAAAUUACUUAUAAUGUUAUUUGGUGAAACAUUUUAUAGAUAUAUUCUUUUAAAAAAUAUUAAGAAAAUACUUUCAUUUUAAAACAUGGAGAACAUUCUUAAAUGUGCUUUAUUUAAUUUCUAUUUUUUAAAAAAUUAAAAUUUAUUUUUUAAAUAAAAAUAGGAGAAUCCGACAUUUUUAUUAGCUAUAGAAUACUCUUUUUGUAAUAGAAAUGAUAAUAAGAUGAGUUUUUCUUUUGUUUUUCUUUUAUUUUUUAUUUUAUCUAUCCUGCCCUAAUGGAACAUGUUUAAAAUUUAAAUAAAUAAGUUGGAAAUAAGUUUGAGAUUUUUUAAAAAAUAUAUAACAGAUUUGGGUGUUAAGUCCUUAUACUCAUAUUAUGUACAAAAUUAAUUUACUUUAAUUUUAAAUUUUUUAUUUUUAAUAUGUAACAAUAAUAAAAAAUAUUUUUUAAUAUAAUAAAUUAUAAAAAAUUAUAGUAUUUUAAUUAUUUAUAAAAUAUAUUUAUUUUAAUAUAAUAAAAAAAAAGUUAGAUUGAAUGGGCGAGGCAAGAUAAGUAUAAGAAAUUUGCGUACCAUUAAGACUCUCUUCCACAUGCCACGUCUCCAGAACCUUCCCGGUGACACUGCACAACCGUUGGAUCAUACCUGAGGCACGUGUCAGCAGGCAACCCAAGAUCACAUGACCUAUGAAGUUACCAAAUUAUGCUCACCCUCUUCAAUUUUAAAUAUCAUUUAUCGCUUAUUUAAGCCACAAACGCGCCAUCGGCAUCCUCAAUUAAGAAGGAAAGACAACCCAGAGUCAGAUUCUCCAGCCUCAGCUCUCUCUAGAACCGUCGUCUCUCUUCCUUCCCAUCCACUCUAGCACAUUCUCGCUCACAUGGCUCCUGAAAUCAUCUCCGCUUCGGGAAAACCGUCCGGAUUUUUGAAACCGGCUAGUCUUCCGGACAGAGCAUACGUGGCCUUCUUGGCCGGUAACGGGGACUACGUGAAAGGUGUUGUUGGGUUAGCCAAGGGGCUGCGGAAGGUGAAAUCCGAUUACCCGCUUGUGGUGGCGGUGUUACCGGACGUGCCGGUGGAGCACAGCCGAGAACUGGAAUCCCAGGGGUGCAUCGUCAGAGAGAUUGUGCCGGUUUACAAGAACCAGACCCAGUUCGCCAUGGCCUAUUACGUUAUCAAUUAUUCAAAGAUCCGUAUCUGGGAGGUACGUGAUAGUACUUUCUCAUUACCUCUAUCACUAUUUUUGUCAUUUUGCAUGAAUCUUUGCAUGAUUUGUAGAUUUACAUGCCAUUUUUGUAUGAAUCAGUUCGUGGAGUACAGUAAGAUGAUAUACUUGGAUGGGGAUAUUCAAGUCUACGAUAACAUUGACCACCUCUUUGAGCUACCAGACGGACAUUUCUAUGCAGUGAUGGACUGUUUCUGUGAGAAAACAUGGAGUCACACGCCACAGUACAAGAUUGGAGACUGCCAACAGUGUCCGGAAAAGGUUCAGUGGCCGGCGGAGCUGGGUCAGCCGCCUUCACUUUACUUCAACGCAGGCAUGUUUGUGUUUGAGCCCAGCCUCUCCACCUAUGAAGAUCUCUGGGAAACCCUCAGGAUCACCCCUGCAACCCCUUUUGCAGAGCAGGUAAACACAUAAGCUUUUGCUGAUGAUAUUCUUCCAACAUAAUCCGGUUGUGGUUCUGGGAUUUUGUUAUUUAGGAAAAUGUGUAUGUGUUUUUGGCAGGAUUUCUUGAAUAUGUACUUCAGGGAUGUAUAUAAGCCUAUUCCUCUGGUCUACAAUCUUGUCCUUGCCAUGCUGUGGCGGCAUCCUGAGAAUGUAGAGCUUGAUAAAGUGAAAGUUGUUCACUACUGUGCAGCGGUGAGUACCACAGAAGAUUGAUUUUGGGAGAUUAAUUCGUAAGUUAUAACCUGUGGUGGUUAUGUAUACUAAUACAAAUAUUAGUGAAUGGUAUACCAGGGGUCGAAGCCAUGGAGGUACACAGGGAAGGAGGACAACAUGCAGAGAGAGGACAUUAAGAUGCUGGUAAACAAAUGGUGGGAGAUAUACAAUGACAAGUCAUUGGAUUACAAGAAGACGAGGAUGAUGGCGAAUGAUUACAGCAGCGUUUUGCCGGGGGAGCAGGUGAAUUUGGAGCCUUUCAUUGCAGCUCUUUCCGAGGUGGGGCAUGUUGAAUUUGUGAGAGCCCCUUCAGCAGCCUAGAAGAGGCCAGUACUCUCGUGGAGAAGAGGAUCCAAGGGGCAUGCAAUCAGA